rnacentral:rRNA from 1 species
UACAGAGGUCUCAAGCGUUGUUCGGAUUCAUUGGGCGUAAAGGGUGCGUAGGUGGCGCGGUAAGUCGGGUGUGAAAUCUCGGAGCUUAACUCCGAAACUGCAUUCGAUACUGCCGUGCUUGAGGACUGGAGAGGAGACUGGAAUUUCCGGUGUAGCGGUGAAAUGCGUAGAUAUCGGAAGGAACAUCAGUGGCGAAAGCGGCUUCCUGGACCGUACCGACGUUCAGGCACGAAAGCCGUGGGGAGC